rnacentral:rRNA from 1 species
AACGCUAGCUACAGGCUUAACACAUGCAAGUCGAGGGGAAACGAUAGAGAAAGCUUGCUUUUGAUGGGCGUCGACCGGCGCACGGGUGAGUAACGCGUAUCCAACCUGCCCAUCACUUGGGGAUAACCUUGCGAAAGUAAGACUAAUACCCAAUGAUAUCUCUAGAAGACAUCUGAAAGAGAUUAAAGAUUUAUCGGUGAUGGAUGGGGAUGCGUCUGAUUAGCUUGUUGGCGGGGUAACGGCCCACCAAGGCAACGAUCAGUAGGGGUUCUGAGAGGAAGGUCCCCCACAUUGGAACUGAGACACGGUCCAAACUCCUACGGGAGGCAGCAGUGAGGAAUAUUGGUCAAUGGACGAGAGUCUGAACCAGCCAAGUAGCGUGCAGGAUGACGGCCCUAUGGGUUGUAAACUGCUUUUAUAAGGGAAUAAAGUGAGUCUCGUGAGACUUUUUGCAUGUACCUUAUGAAUAAGGACCGGCUAAUUCCGUGCCAGCAGCCGCGGUAAUACGGAAGGUCCGGGCGUUAUCCGGAUUUAUUGGGUUUAAAGGGAGCGUAGGCCGGAGAUUAAGCGUGUUGUGAAAUGUAGACGCUCAACGUCUGCACUGCAGCGCGAACUGGUUUCCUUGAGUACGCACAAAGUGGGCGGAAUUCGUGGUGUAGCGGUGAAAUGCUUAGAUAUCACGAAGAACUCCGAUUGCGAAGGCAGCUCACUGGAGCGCAACUGACGCUGAAGCUCGAAAGUGCGGGUAUCGAACAGGAUUAGAUACCCUGGUAGUCCGCACGGUAAACGAUGGAUGCCCGCUGUUGGUCUGAAUAGGUCAGCGGCC